rnacentral:rRNA from 1 species
GAUGAACGCUGGCGGCGUGCCUAAUACAUGCAAGUCGAGCGAAUGGAUUAAGAGCUUGCUCUUAUGAAGUUAGCGGCGGACGGGUGAGUAACACGUGGGUAACCUGCCCAUAAGACUGGGAUAACUCCGGGAAACCGGGGCUAAUACCGGAUAACAUUUUGAACCGCAUGGUUCGAAAUUGAAAGGCGGCUUCGGCUGUCACUUAUGGAUGGACCCGCGUCGCAUUAGCUAGUUGGCGAGGUAACGGCUCACCAAGGCAACGAUGCGUAGCCGACCUGAGAGGGUGAUCGGCCACACUGGGACUGAGACACGGCCCAGACUCCUACGGGAGGCAGCAGUAGGGAAUCUUCCGCAAUGGACGAAAGUCUGACGGAGCAACGCCGCGUGAGUGAUGAAGGCUUUCGGGUCGUAAAACUCUGUUGUUAGGGAGGAACAAGUGCUAGUUGAAUAAGCUGGCACCUUGACGGUACCUAACCAGAAAGCCACGGCUAACUACGUGCCAGCAGCCGCGGUAA